rfam:Glycine soja cultivar W05 scaffold975_135, whole genome shotgun sequence.
AUUGAGGGGAAUGUUGGCUGGCUCGAGGCUUUUCACAAAUGAGGUUCACAGUGGAUGGAACUAUAAGGCUUCGGACCAGGCUUCAUUCCCCUCAAA